ensembl:lncRNA
UCCCUCACAGGGGGUCUGGUUCUUUGGUUUGGUGCUAAGAUCCUGCAGUCCUUCAUGUGGUAUCUGAACCCCAGACAGGUAUUUGACCUGAGCCAUGGCGGACCAAAGGAAGGCCUGGAGCUGUAUCGUAAAGUUCAUAACCUGAGGAUCAUGGCCUGUGGAGGAGAUGGCACAGUGGGCUGGAUCCUGUCUUGUCUUGAUGAACUGGCCUUGAAUCCUCAACCUCCCGUUGCCGUGUUACCACUUGGGACAGGAAAUGACCUCGCCAGGACCCUCAACUGGGGGGGGGGGUACACAGACGAGCCCCUGUCAAAGAUCCUCUCCCAUGUUGAAGACGGAGCGGUGGUCCAGCUGGACAGAUGGAAUCUACAUGUGGAACCAAACCACAGUGCAGAGGCUGAGCCGGACGAGCACCAGGCUGAUAAGCUUCCUCUAGAUAUUUUCAACAAUUACUUCAGCCUUGGAUUUGAUGCCCAUGUGACUCUAGAGUUCCAUGAGUCAAGAGAAGCCAACCCAGAGAAGUUUAACAGUCGUUUUAGGAAUAAGAUGUUCUAUGCUGGGACAGCAUUCUCAGAUUUUCUGAUGCGAAGCUCCAAAGACCUGUCAAAGCACAUCAAUGUGGUGUGUGACGGGACCGAUCUAACGUCAAAGGUCCAGGACUUGAAGCUGCAGUGUUUGGUCUUCCUCAACAUUCCCAGAUACUGUGCAGGGACGACGCCUUGGGGAAACCCCGGUGAGCAUCACGACUUUGAACCUCAACGUCAUGAUGAUGGAUACAUCGAGGUCAUCGGAUUCACUAUGACGUCACUGGCUACUCUCCAGGUCGGGGGUCAUGGCGAGAGGUUGAACCAGUGCAGGGAAGUCAUCCUCACCACCACAAAACCUCUUCCAGUACAGGUGGACGGUGAACCGUGCAGACUGGCUCCCUCUGUCAUCCGCAUCAGCCUCAGAAACCAGGCGAACAUGGUGCAGAAAACCAAACGGCAGACCUCUCUGCCACACCUCAACGAUCAGCAGCCAGUUCCGGAGAGGCUGAGGAUCCGAGUCAGCAGGAUCAGUAUGACGGACUACGAGGCUUUGCACUAUGACAAGGACAAACUAAGACAAGCAUCCAUUCCUCUGGGGCUCAUCGUGGUUUCUGGUGACAGCGACUUAGAAACCUGCAGAGAACACAUCCAGCGCCUCCAGGAGGUAAGGAGGAGAGAGGAGGGGGGGGAGUUCACCUUGGGACUGCAGGUUGGUAGUUGGAUGCUGGAGUUUGUAGUGUGUUUUUUGUUUGGCUCAGAGGCACACGGGAAACUAACCGCUUCAACAUUUUACCGCAAAAUCUUACCACAACCCUUUCUGAAAUAUAUUACACGCACAGGAAACAUUUAA